UUAUCAGAUGUUUUUAUCAGGUUCUGCUUGUUAAAAACGGGUGAUAAUAAUCGUACUAACGUAACGCUUUGCCGUGUAAAUCACCGAAGCGCUGCGUUUUUUU
rfam:Lactobacillus amylophilus DSM 20533 = JCM 1125 strain DSM 20533 NODE_16, whole genome shotgun sequence.